UUAUUGUGAGUGUACUCAAAUAUUGUGUUACGUAUUAGAGAAAAAAAGUUCUAUUAUUAAUUAAAACAAACAUUAAAUAUAUCUUUGUAACUUGAUUAAUAUCAACAUUCGUCAUCAUUUUAAAACUAUCAUAACUAUCAAUGAUGUUAUUCGAAAGAGUUAUUCUUUCGUAAUGAUAAACAUUAGAUGAAAAUUUGGAGAAAGUUAGGUCGUAUCAUCUUUAAUCCCAAGAUCUUUUUGCACCACCCCUAGAGAGACAUCGCGACAGCUGAAUUGAAUAAAGUUUAUAAGGAAGCUAAAACACCACACGUACACCCCAGUUCUGGGAUGGCGCAUAGCGGGAAAAAGAAGUACGCAGCGAUCAAGAAUGAGAGAGAGAGAAAAAGAGAGAAAAUGCAUGGGUUCUAUGCCGUGAGAACGAGAAGAGUUCCUUUUGAUCAGGUUUUUCUUCGUCGUUUCUUUGUACUUCUCUUUCUCUCUCGCUCUUUCUGCAUAUGAGACGAAUUAAAAUGGCCGGAUCUAGGCGUAGGUACUGCGUAUAUCAAGGAAAAAGAAAGAAAAAAAGAAAAGAAGAAAGAAAGAAAGAAAGAAGGUACGAGAGGAGUAUGCAUGGAAAGGACCCCAAGAAAACGAAAGAGAGAAAGAGAGAGAAGGAAAGAAAAAGAGAGAGAAAGGGAGACAACGGACGGGCACGAUCAAGAGGGAUCGGUCAGUGAGUGGUAGACAAAGGAGGAUGAUAUGGGAAUAAACUUUCCGGAAGAUGACGGAAUGGAAAGCCUACGACACGACGAACCAUUUAGUUUUGAUUUGCAAUCCAUGGUCAAGGAAUGGUACCGGUUGGCCACGUUCAAGAGUGGGGUUACGAAUCGACUCAAAUUUCGGACAGUAUAAAACGCGUCUGCUUUCAUCCUAAGCUGAACAAAGGAACGAUAGAUACACCCUACCACGUAGACGAAAGAAGAACUUGUAAGACUUUAGCUAAAAAAGAAUAUACACGGUAUUCUUCGAAUUUUUGUGGUAUCCAUGAAGAGAUCUACAAAACAAUUUGCCAGGGCUCUUGUAAGCUCUGCUAGAGUCCUCGACAACACCGACAGAGCCCCCAAUUUUGUAGGUCGCGCGUUCUCGCCGACAGAAAAUGUGCAUCGAGCGCCCCACCAAAAUGUUUCCUGGAUAUAUGGAACAAUGAUGCCUUCAAGAAGAAAACGUAGUAGACGAAGUAACGACGGCGGUAGCAGCGGCGCGACAACAGCACGUAUUCUUUGAUUCUCUGAUAACUCUUGCCAGAAAAGAGAUAAACUGCGAGAGAAAUCCUGAUUUAAAGAUGAUGAUAAUGACGAUGACGAUGACGAUGAUGAUUAUGACGAAGAAGAAGAAGAAGCGUGAAUGUAAACGACGCUUCGCGUAGGACGUUCUCGAGCAAACUGCUGCUCGUGGCCAGGUGUUCCGCCUCUUUAUUCCUUUUGGCUGCCGUGAGUACAUGAAAGCCCCUGGCUAUAUAGGUACCCGCAGGCUUCUCGAUGGUGGGGAGCUUAUUCUUAUUUAACAGAGCGACGACGAAGCAGGAGCAGCAGCAGCAGCAGCAACAGCAACAGCAGGAUCAGCAGCACACACAUACACACAGCUUCAAAUCCUCCCCCUUUCCACCAUUUCGUCCCUUUUUCUCGCCUUCUCUCUCUCUCUCUCUUUCUCUUUCUCUUUCUGUUGAAUUUCUUCGUCUAUCCAUCCGGUGUCCCUUUCUCUCUUUCUUUCUCUCUCUAUCUUUCUGUCUUUUUUCUUCCUCUCGAUCCCCUCUUACUUCAUCACUUGCUUUCCUUUUGGUUUACGCACCACCCCUCUCUUUUUCCUCUCCUUAGCCGAUACUCCUUUGUCGUGUACCGAUCUGCCGUCGAGGAGCCCGCCAAAAUUGUAUCAGCUGUCCUGGAUUUUCAGCUACGCACCUUUCAAGACUCAACUAUACACCAUUUUUAUAACAACACGGUUGCUUUCAAGGACUAUUCAUCCGGUCGUUUCUUUCCUUCACCUGGGACAGCUGGAACUCAGGACGACCACGUGCUCUCUCGACUUCAACGAGCAAUCCCAGCAUAGCAGGAUAUCUUUUGUACCGUCAACACACAUACACCGUAUGCGUUUUACACACCAUAGAGCCCAGAUGGCAAGCGCCGCGUCGAUCUUCUGUUUAAAAUUUGAACCGCGGGUAUCGCGCUCACUUUCCUACCACCUGCUCGCGCUCAACUGUCCGCAUAACUUAUUGAUCUUUUUGAAAAUAUUUUUAAUUAAUGUUAUUAUAAACGUACAUACAUUAGAAACAUUAUUAUCAACAUUAUUAUAAAUGAUAGUAAAUGUAUUGUACCGUUAGGAAAGAAAAAAAUGUA